rnacentral:rRNA from 1 species
CCCCCAGACUCCUACGGGAGGCAGCAGUGGGGGAUAUUGCACAAUGGGGGGAACCCUGAUGCAGCGACGCCGCGUGGGUGAAGGAGUAUUUCGGUAUGUAAAGCCCUAUCGGCAGGGAAGAAGCAAGACGGUACCUGACUAAGAAGCCCCGGCUAACUACGUGCCAGCAGCCGCGGUAAUACGUAGGGGGCGAGCGUUAUCCGGAUUCACUGGGUGUAAAGGGAGCGUAGACGGCCAAGCAAGCCAGGGGUGAAAGCCCGGGGCCCAACCCCGGGACUGCCCUUGGAACUGCUUGGCUGGAGUGCGGGAGGGGCAGGCGGAAUUCCUGGUGUAGCGGUGAAAUGCGUAGAUAUCACGCAGAACCCCGAUUGCGAAGGCAGCAUGCCGGCUUCCGACUGACGCUGAAGCACGAAAGCGUGGGGAUCGAACAGGAUUAGAUACCCCCGUA